rnacentral:rRNA from 1 species
GAAGGGGGCUAGCGUUGUUCGGAAUUACUGGGCGUAAAGGGCGCGUAGGCGGCCCCGUGCGUCGAGCGUGAAAGGCCUGGGCUCAACCCAGGAAUGGCGCUCGAUACGGCGAGGCUAGAGUGCAGAAGAGGAUGGUGGAAUUCCCAGUGUAGAGGUGAAAUUCGUAGAUAUUGGGAAGAACACCGGUGGCGAAGGCGGCCAUCUGGACUGCAACUGACGCUGAGGCGCGAAAGCGUGGGGAGCAAACAGGAUUAGAUACCCUGGUAGUCCACGCUGUAAACGAUGUGCGCUAGACGUUGGUGGACCUAGUUCGCCAGUGUCGCAGCUAACGCAUUGAGCGCACCGCCUGGGGAGUACGGCCGCAAGGUUA